rnacentral:rRNA from 1 species
GAUGAACGCUGGCGGCGUGCCUAAUACAUGCAAGUCGAGCGAACAGACGAGGAGCUUGCUCCUCUGACGUUAGCGGCGGACGGGUGAGUAACACGUGGAUCACCUACCUAUCAGACUGGGAUAACUUCGGGAAACCGGCUCUAAUACCGGAUAACAUGUUGAACCGCAUGGUUCAACAGUGAAAGACGGUCUUGCUGUCUCUUAUAGAUGGAUCCGCGCCGCAUUAGCUAGUUGGUAAGGUAACGGCUUACCACGGCAACGAUGCGUAGCCGACGUGAGAGAGUGAUAGGCCACACGAGAGCGGGAACGGGGUCAAGACGACUGAGAGAGGGAGCAGAAGGGUAUGGGACGCAAUGGGCGAAAACAUGACGGAGCAGGGGCGAGUGAGAGAAAAAAGUCUUGGGAUCGUAAAAAUCUGUUAUGAGGGAAGAACAAAUGUGGAAGUAAAUAUACACGGAGUGACGGUAACGAAUAAGGAAGCAACGGCUAACUACGUG